GUGGGGAAUAUUGCACAAUGGGCGAAAGCCUGAUGCAGCAACGCCGCGUGAGGGACGACGGCCUUCGGGUUGUAAACCUCUUUUAGUAGGGAAGAAGCGAAAGUGACGGUACCUGCAGAAAAAGCACCGGCUAACUACGUGCCAGCAGCCGCGGUAAUACGUAGGGUGCAAGCGUUAUCCGGAAUUAUUGGGCGUAAAGAGCUCGUAGGCGGUCUGUCGCGUCUGCUGUGAAAACUGGAGGCUCAACCUCCAGCCUGCAGUGGGUACGGGCAGACUAGAGGGCGGUAGGGGAGAUUGGAAUUCCUGGUGUAGCGGUGGAAUGCGCAGAUAUCAGGAGGAACACCGAUGGCGAAGGCAGAUCUCUGGGCCGUAACUGACGCUGAGGAGCGAAAGCGUGGGGAGCGAACAGGAUUAGAAACCCCAGUAGUCC
rnacentral:rRNA from 1 species